CCCUGAUAGCGGCAGGAAUAAACUUUUAUUCAUCAUGGCGACACAGCGCAUUCAUCCGCAUAUGUUGGACCUGGAAUCGGACGAGGCACACGAAGCACAAGCACCGCGUCGACAUCAACUGAACAUUACUGAUUGGGGUCAGUGCACAGCUCAGACUCAGCUCUCCGGCCGUGAUCCAGGGCACAAAGUGUUCAGUUCCUCACCUCCCUCACAGGAAACAGACACAUGACAUCACCUUCUCAUCUCCUGUGCCCCCCGGGACCACCACAGACAGGAGGGGACGAGAGGACGGACAGAAAAGUUCUUCUGUUUGGAGCCACAGCCUCAUCCUGUUGCCACCUGUUCCGCAAGCCCCUGGUCAGCCUCAUCCCCACAUACCUCGCACUUACACCAACCUGGACCCAUCCUGCCUCCCCUGGAACCGAUCCCCUUUCCGAGACUAUUUUUGUUAAUAAAUACUUUUGGUUUCUGCAUAUUUGGGUUCGACCAGUGAUUUUCCUUAACAUGCAUAACAUGUUCUCUUUAAUGUACCUCUAACCCAGGGGUGGGCAAACUACGGCCCGGGGGCCAUAUGCGGCGGCCCUUUAAUCUUCUUAAUCUGGCCCACCGAACUUGAUAAUAUCCUAAGUAAUUUCAAUAAAUAGUAAAUA